rnacentral:rRNA from 1 species
AGACGGAGGGGGCGAGCGUUGUUCGGAAUUACUGGGCGUAAAGCGCGCGUAGGCGGCGUGUCAAGUCGAGGGUGAAAUCCCGGGGCUCAACCCCGGAACUGCCUUCGAAACUGGCAUGCUAGAGUCCGGGAGAGGAGAGUGGAAUUCCCAGUGUAGAGGUGAAAUUCGUAGAUAUUGGGAAGAACACCAGUGGCGAAGGCGGCUCUCUGGUCCGGUACUGACGCUGAGGCGCGAAAGCGUGGGGAGCAAACAGGAUUAGAAACCCGAGUAGUCC